AGGCUUAACACAUGCAAGUCGAGCGCUGUAGCAAUACAGAGCGGCGCACGGGUGAGUAACACGUGGGAACGUGCCCUUUGGUUCGGAAUAACUCAGGGAAACUUGAGCUAAUACCGGAUAAGCCCUAACGGGGAAAGAUUUAUCGCCAUUGGAGCGGCCCGCGUCCGAUUAGCUUGUUGGUGAGGUAACGGCUCACCAAGGCGACGAUCGGUAGCUGGUCUGAGAGGACGACCAGCCACACUGGGACUGAGACACGGCCCAG
rnacentral:rRNA from 1 species